UACGGAGGGUGCAAGCAUUAAUCGGAUUUAUUGGGCGUAAAGGGCGCGUAGGCGGUGCGGUAAGUCACCUGUGAAAUCUCCUGGCUCAACUGGGAGCUUGCAGGCGAAACUGCCGUGCUGGAGUGCGGCAGAGGGGGAUGGAAUUCCGCGUGUAGCAGUGAAAUGCGUAGAUAUUCGGAAGAACACCAGUGGCGAAGGCGACCCACUCGGCCCGAUACUGACGCUGAGGCGCGAAAGCGUGGGGAGCAAACAGG
rnacentral:rRNA from 1 species